rnacentral:rRNA from 1 species
UACGAAGGGGGCUAGCGUUGCUCGGAAUUACUGGGCGUAAAGCGCGCGUAGGCGGCGUUUCAAGUCAGGGGUGAAAUCCUUGGGCUCAACCCAAGAAUUGCCUUUGAAACUGUAACGCUAGAGUGUCGGAGGGGAUAGCGGAAUUGCUAAUGUAGAGGUGAAAUUCGUAGAUAUUAGCAGGAACACCGGUGGCGAAGGCGGCUAUCUGGACGACAACUGACGCUGAGGCGCGAAAGCACGGGGAUCAAACAGG